UACGGGGGGAGCAAGCGUUGUUCGGAUUUACUGGGCGUAAAGGGCACGUAGGCGGCGUGACAAGUCACUUGUGAAAUCUCCGGGCUUAACCCGGAACGGUCAAGUGAUACUGUCGUGCUAGAGUACAGAAGGGGCAACUGGAAUUCUCGGUGUAGCGGUGAAAUGCGUAGAUAUCGAGAGGAACACCUGCGGCGAAGGCGGGUUGCUGGGCUGAUACUGACGCUGAGGCGCGAAAGCCAGGGGAGCGAACGGG
rnacentral:rRNA from 1 species